UACGUAGGUGGCAAGCGUUAUCCGGAUUUACUGGGUGUAAAGGGCGUGUAGGCGGUCUCGCAAGUCGGAUGUGAAAUUCCCGGGCUUAACCCGGGCGCUGCAACCGAAACUGUGAGACUUGAGUACUGGAGAGGAUAGUGGAAUUCCUAGUGUAGCGGUAAAAUGCGUAGAUAUUAGGAGGAACACCGGUGGCGAAGGCGACUAUCUGGACAGUAACUGACGCUGAGGCGCGAAAGCGUGGGGAGCAAACAGG
rnacentral:rRNA from 1 species